rnacentral:rRNA from 1 species
GGGGGAAUAUUGGACAAUGGGCGCAAGCCUGAUCCAGCCAUGCCGCGUGAGUGAUGAAGGCCCUAGGGUUGUAAAGCUCUUUCACCGGUGAAGAUAAUGACGGUAACCGGAGAAGAAGCCCCGGCUAACUUCGUGCCAGCAGCCGCGGUAAUACGAAGGGGGCUAGCGUUGUUCGGAUUUACUGGGCGUAAAGCGCACGUAGGCGGAAUUUUAAGUCAGGGGUGAAAUCCCGGGGCUCAACCCCGGAACUGCCUUUGAUACUGGAAGUCUUGAGUAUGGUAGAGGUGAGGGGAAUUCCGAGUGUGGAGGUGAAAUGCGUAGAUAUUCGGAGGAACACCAGUGGCGAAGGCGGCUCACUGGACAAUUACUGACGCUGAGGUGCGAAAGCGUGGGGAGCAAACAGC